UACGUAGGGGGCAAGCGUUAUCCGGAUUUACUGGGUGUAAAGGGAGCGCAGGCGGUGCGGCAAGUCUGAUGUGAAAGCCCGGGGCUCAACCCCGGGACUGCAUUGGAAACUGUCGUACUUGAGUAUCGGAGAGGUAAGUGGAAUUUCUAGUGUAGCGGUGAAAUGCGUAGAUAUUAGGAGGAACACCAGUGGCGAAGGCGGCUUACUGGACGAUAACUGACGCUGAGGCUCGAAAGCGUGGGGAGCAAACAGG
rnacentral:rRNA from 1 species